AAUUUAACUUGGGAGUCAGAACAUGGGUGAUAAGGUCCGUGUUCGAAAGGGAAACAGCCCAGACCACCAGCUAAGGUCCCAAAAUAUAUGUUAAGUGGAAAAGGAUGUGGCGUUGCCCAGACAACUAGGAUGUUGGCUUAGAAGCAGCCAUCAUUUAAAGAGUGCGUAAUAGCUCACUAGUCGAGUGACACUGCGCCGAAAAUGUACCGGGGCUAAACAUAUUACCGAAGCUGUGGAUUGUCCGUAGGACAAUGGUAGGAGAGCGUUCUAAGGGCGUCGAAGCAUGAUCGCAAGGACAUGUGGAGCGCUUAGAAGUGAGAAUGCCGGUGUGAGUAGCGAAAGACGGGUGAGAAUCCCGUCCACCGAUUGACUAAGGUUUCCAGAGGAAGGCUCGUCCGCUCUGGGUUAGUCGGGUCCUAAGCUGAGGCCGACAGGCGUAGGCGAUGGAUAACAGGUUGAUAUUCCUGUACCACCUAGUAUCGUUUUAAUCGAUGGGGGGACGCAGUAGGAUAGGCGAAGCGUGCUAUUGGAUUGCACGUCCAAGCAGUAAGACUGAGUGUUAGGCAAAUCCGGCACUCAUAAGGUCAAGCUGUGAUGGGGAGAGGAAAUUGUUUCCUCGAGUCGUUGAUUUCACACUGCCAAGAAAAGCCUCUAGAUAGAUAACAGGUGCCCGUACCGCAAACCGACACAGGUAGUCAAGAUGAGAAUUCUAAGGUGAGCGAGCGAACUCUCGUUAAGGAACUCGGCAAAAUGACCCCGUAACUUCGGGAGAAGGGGUGCUCUUUAGGGUUAACGCCCAGAAGAGCCGCAGUGAAUAGGCCCAAGCGACUGUUUAUCAAAAACACAGGUCUCUGCUAAACCGUAAGGUGAUGUAUAGGGGCUGACGCCUGCCCGGUGCUGGAAGGUUAAGAGGAGUAGUUAGCUUCUGCGAAGCUACGAAUCGAAGCCCCAGUAAACGGCGGCCGUAACUAUAACGGUCCUAAGGUAGCGAAAUUCCUUGUCGGGUAAGUUCCGACCCGCACGAAAGGCGUAACGAUUUGGGCACUGUCUCAACGAGAGACUCGGUGAAAUCAUAGUACCUGUGAAGAUGCAGGUUACCCGCGACAGGACGGAAAGACCCCGUGGAGCUUUACUGUAGCCUGAUAUUGAAAUUCGGCACAGCUUGUACAGGAUAGGUAGGAGCCUUUGAAACGUGAGCGCUAGCUUACGUGGAGGCAUUGGUGGGAUACUACCCUAGCUGUGUUGGCUUUCUAACCCGCACCACUUAUCGUGGUGGGAGACAGUGUCAGGUGGGCAGUUUGACUGGGGCGGUCGCCUCCUAAAAGGUAACGGAGGCGCUCAAAGGUUCCCUCAGAAUGGUUGGAAAUCAUUCAUAGAGUGUAAAGGCAUAAGGGAGCUUGACUGCGAGACUUACAAGUCGAGCAGGGUCGAAAGACGGACUUAGUGAUCCGGUGGUUCCGCAUGGAAGGGCCAUCGCUCAACGGAUAAAAGCUACCCCGGGGAUAACAGGCUUAUCUCCCCCAAGAGUUCACAUCGACGGGGAGGUUUGGCACCUCGAUGUCGGCUCAUCGCAUCCUGGGGCUGUAGUCGGUCCCAAGGGUUGGGCUGUUCGCCCAUUAAAGCGGUACGCGAGCUGGGUUCAGAACGUCGUGAGACAGUUCGGUCCCUAUCCGUCGUGGGCGUAGGAAAUUUGAGAGGAGCUGUCCUUAGUACGAGAGGACCGGGAUGGACAUACCUCUGGUGUACCAGUUGUCGUGCCAACGGCAUAGCUGGGUAGCUAUGUAUGGACGGGAUAAGUGCUGAAAGCAUCUAAGCAUGAAGCCCCCCUCAAGAUGAGAUUUCCCAACUUCGGUUAUAAGAUCCCUCAAAGAUGAUGAGGUUAAUAGGUUCGAGGUGGAAGCGUGGUGACACGUGGAGCUGACGAAUACUAAUCGAUCGAAGACUUAAUCAAAA
rnacentral:rRNA from 1 species